rnacentral:lncRNA from 1 species
CAACGAGGACAUAAGGUUUGGGGGCUGGCCAGCCUGAGGUAAACACUUUGCUGACCAGUCACUGCUGUAACUGUCCAGGCAACAGGUCAAGAACCCGGGUCCAUGAAAUCCAGACCACCGAGCAAGAGUCAGACCCACCAGGCUGGAGAGGCUCCAGGCAAGAUGGCCAUUAACAUCCCCAGGAAACUGAAGGAAGAAGCCAGAGGUGCCUGCACUGCCUUCAUCUGCAAGGACUUGUCUUCCUGCUCUCAUGGCAGCUCUCCUACCAUCAGUCUCUGGAACGCUGAGCAGCUUCUCUCACUCCCAGGCUUGGCUUCUGUUUGUGCCACUGCCAGUCUCAUGGUACGGUCCCAGGAGGAACGGGAAAAGCAUGUGGAUUUUGUGGGCCUGUGGAUUUCUGCAGAGAUAUGAGUGUUGAUUUAUUAUUUUCUCUGUGUGCUGAAAU